GAUGAACGCUGGCGGCGUGCCUAAUACAUGCAAGUCGAGCGAACGGACGAGAAGCUUGCUUCUCUGAUGUUAGCGGCGGACGGGUGAGUAACACGUGGAUAACCUACCUAUAAGGCUGGGAUAACUUCGGGAAACCGGAGCUAAUACCGGAUAAUAUUUUGAACCGCAUGGUUCAAAAGUGAAAGACGGUCUUGCUGUCACUUAUAGAUGGAUCCGCGCUGCAUUAGCUAGUUGGUAAGGUAACGGCUUACCAAGGCAACGAUGCAUAGCCGACCUGAGAGGGUGAUCGGCGACACUGGAACUGAGACACGGUCCAGACUCCUACGGGAGGCAGCAGUAGGAAAUCUUCCGCAAUGGGCGAAAGCCUGACGGAGCAACGCCGCGUGAGUGAUGAAGGUCUUCGGAUCGUAAAACUCUGUUAUUAGGGAAGAACAUAUGUGUAAGUAACUGUGCACAUCUUGACGGUACCUAAUCAGAAAGCCACGGCUAACUACGUG
rnacentral:rRNA from 1 species